GUAUAUAAGACAUUACAAGCUUCCCUUAGUUGCAAAAAAAGACCACAUGAUCGAAUUUUUCGUUACUCUCUACGGCGUAACAACCAUUGCUGGUGUGGCUAUAUGGGUUUACAUGUUCAAGAAGAUCCCCGAAAGUCCUUACGAAGGCGGUGCCAUGAGUAUUUCUCAUAUGUGCGGCGUUGUUUUACUCACUCUCUUCCUCUAUUCAAUUUCUCUUAUCUUUGCUCUCUGUUUUGGUAUACCGUCUUUCUCAUGGUUUUUACUCA